rnacentral:misc_RNA from 1 species
GGAAGGAUCAUUAACACUUCCAAUUAUCUAACCAUACCUGCAGCCUAUCUCCAUUCGGAGAUAGUUAUAACUACCUUCAAACUAUUGACUAAGUCAAUAAAAAUUACCAUUUUCAACGAUGGAUAUCUAGGUUCCCAUUACGAUGAAGAACGCAGCAAAGUGCGAUAAGCAAUGCGAAUUGCAGAAACCCGCGAGUCAUCAGAUCUUUGAAUGCAAUCGGCGCCAUGGGGCAACCCUUAGGCAUGUUUGUUUCAGUGUGCCCUACUAACUUAACCAACCUAAUGCCUGAGAAACAUCUCAGGUUAAGUCAGGUGCGGAACUCCGCAAUCCGAAGCAGUAGUCACACUUACGUGGACCUCUUUGGAUAUGGAUGAAGCACAGACUCAAACACAAGUUAAACACCUGAGGCAAGCAAGAGUACCCGCUAAACUUAAGCAUAUUACUCAGCGGAGGAAAAGAAACUAACAAAGAUUGCCUUAGUAACUGCGAGUGAAGAGGCAAGAGCUCAAAGUUAAAAUCGUGCGGCUCUGCUGUACGAAUUGUAACCUCAAGGGGGGGACAUAAGUCAAUCUAACGCAUAAGUUCCGAGGAUAAGGACGCCAGAGAGGGUGAAAGCCCCGUGUAUGGUGUUGGAUUGGCGAAACGAAACCUUCUUCAGAGUCGGGUUGUUUGGUAUUGCAGCCCUAAAUGGGAGAUAAACAUCUUCUAAAGCUAAAUAUGAAUGGGAAUCCGAUAGCGAACAAGUACUGCGAAGGAAAGAUGAGAAGAACUUUGGAAAGAGAGUUACAAGACUUGAAAUCGUUGAAAAGGAAGCGGUUAAGGUCCAUUAUUCGUUGAUCUUAAAGUCUUCAAGGUACUCUUAGUUUACACGUACAUCAAAGGCGUGUAGGCGAAAGUUGUAUUUUGAGGACGUUCGGAGCAGACGAAACACAAGAUGAAAUCGCUUGCUCUUAAUAGCGGUUGUGUUGGCAGCAAUGUCAUACAAUUAGUGAAAGAGCAAACGGUUUGAGGGGUCUUCGGACGAUCUUGUGACGAUGGCCUUAUCUGUCCCGUCUUGAAACACGGACCAAGGAGUCUACCAUAUAUGCGAGUGUGCUGGUGUUAAACCGAUACGCGAAAGGAAACUGUGGUAUGCCAAGCCGCAAGGCUGCAGCAUAGGCCGACACUGGGCUAUAGCCCGGAGAUUGAGCAAGAGCAUAUCUGUUAGGACCCGAAAGAUGGUGAACUAUGCCUGUGCAGGGAGAAGUCAGGGGAAACUCUGAUGGAGGCUCGUAGCGAUACUGACGUGCAAAUCGUUCGUCUAACAUGGGUAUAGGGGCGAAAGACCAAUCGAACUAUCUAGUAGCUGGUUCCUUC